rnacentral:rRNA from 1 species
UCGUAAACGCUUCAGCAGGAGAAGCCCUUCGGGGGUGACGGUACCUGCAGAAGAAGUACGGCUAACUACGUGCCAGCAGCCGCGGUAAUACGUAGGGUACAAGCGUUGUCCGGAAUUAUUGGGCGUAAAGAGCUCGUAGGUGGUUGGUCACGUCUGCUGUGGAAACGCAACGCUUAACGUUGCGCGUGCAGUGGGUACGGGCUGACUAGAGUGCAGUAGGGGAGUCUGGAAUUCCUGGUGUAGCGGUGAAAUGCGCAGAUAUCAGGAGGAACACCGGUGGCGAAGGCGGGACUCUGGGCUGUAACUGACACUGAGGAGCGAAAGCAUGGGGAGCGAACAGGAUUAGAUACCCUGGUAGUCCAUGCCGUAAACGUUGGGCACUAGGUGUGGGGGACAUUCCACGUUCUCCGCGCCGUAGCUAACGCAUUAAGUGCCCCGCCUGGGGAGUACGGUCGCAAGGCUAAAACUCAAAGGAAUUGACGGGGGCCCGCACAAGCGGCGGAGCAUGCGGAUUAAUUCGAUGCAACGCGAAGAACCUUACCAAGGCUUGACAUACACCAGACCGUUCUGGAAACAGUUCCUCCCCUUUGGGGUUGGUGUACAGGUGGUGCAUGGUUGUCGUCAGCUCGUGUCGUGAGAUGUUGGGUUAAGUCCCGCAACGAGCGCAACCCCCGUUCUAUGUUGCCAGCACGUGAUGGUGGGAACUCAUAGGAGACUGCCGGGGUCAACUCGGAGGAAGGUGGGGAUGACGUCAAAUCAUCAUGCCCUUUAUGUCUUGGGCUUCACGCAUGCUACAAUGGCUGGUACAGAGAGAUGCGAGACCGCGAGGUUUUAGCGAAUCCCUUAAAGCCAGUCUCAGUUCGGAUCGUAGUCUGCAAUUCGACUACGUGAAGUCGGAGUCGCUAGAAUCGCA